rnacentral:lncRNA from 10 species
AGCUUUACUGAGGAACUGGACACUGAGCUGGACCUUGAAUGAACAUUAGGAGUUUGUCAGGCAGAGACCGGAUGGAAGGCGGGGAAAGAGGCUUGAAUGUCUAAAAUGAGAUGCAGAUAGAAAGAAGAAAAGAAGAAAACGGGUCUGGCCUGGUGUGACCAGAUGCCUCGCACGUGUCAGUCCCUGAGGAUUCAAAGACGAGUAAGAUGCAUCUGUGUAAGAGCUCCAAACAUUUGUGGACACCGGCUAGUCCUCUCACCAUGGCCCGGGGAGGGAGGGGAGGCAGCUCUCUAACCCACGCGUGAAUAGUUGAGGCUGCUCCAGUCCCCGCAGCCUGGUGUUCCUCAUAUCUCAUCUGUACCCCUCCCUGAAUAACCAAAGAACUGAAGAUUUCCCAUGUCACCGGAGUCCAAGGAUAGGAUCGAAGAGUUCACCAUAAUGCUUAGGUUUCCCCGGCACGCUCCGCUCUUCUCUCAAAAACCAGAAAGGCGCCAGAUGUGAGUGUUGCACCGACACAUGGCCCGCACAUGCCUUCGCAAGCCUUUGUUGAAGUCGCCUGCAUAGUGAGUAGAUUUGUCAUUGUUAUGCUAGGGAGCUUUCCAUUUUCUCUGCACAAGAGCUGUGUCAAGUUCCACUCUGGGUCAUGGUGCCCCAGACCCAGCCAAUAAAUGAACAAAUCCUGUGCCGUGGCAGCUCAGCCAAUGAAGGAAAAAAUUCUGAGCUUAAAGAUCGUUGGAUCUAGCAUGUUUGUUGCCUUAAUAAGGGUCUGAGACCCAGGAGACUGGUGCUGUACCCUGCUACAUGUGUGCAGUGUGGCUCAGGGUGGCACUGAGGAUAUGCCUGGCACCUCCCGACAGGUUCACAUGUCUCAGCU